CUCCUCUUGCAAAGAUCUCCUUAUUGUAUAUAGCUCGUACUCUUUGAACAACAAUUGUAUUUCUGGCACAUGGAUUCAAAGUGGUGAGGCUAAAUCCUCCAAAUAGUUGCACAUUGAUGCACCUUGGGUUUUACUAACCUUAGUUGCUUUAACCUAAAGCUUGCUGUGUGCUGUGGAAAAUAAAACCAUGGAUUUUUCCUCAUUUUCCCAGUUAUUUCCCUGCAAAUAUUCCCUUCUGCCUGAACCCCAAGCAAAAUACUUACUAAGCAUAUGUUUGUGCUGAAAUGGCAGAAAUAAGGACCUUGGCCUAUCACACCCCAAGUGGCAUGAGAGAACUUCAGCUAAGGUAUUUAAAACACUGCCAUAGCAGCCAAGGAGAAGCACAAGAAUUGUGCUGAGACCUGGAUGACCCCUGUGCUCCCUGGUGAGUCCUCAGCUGAUCAACCCCUUCUGGAGGAGCUGCCAAGAGGAGCCAUCUGCACAGGGUCUUGGAGUGACAGCCUCACAGACCCUAGAAACUCCAAUUUUCUGCUGCUCAAAAUUGCUGGUAGCAGACAACUGAGUUGCAACUACACCAGCAUGAAACUGCCGUUGCAUCACCGGCUUGCAGACGCUGUUACAAAACCAAGGCAAGAUGAAGCUCUGGGAGGUUCACGAGUGUUUCAACAUAACCCGAACAGAGUUAAAAGGAAACCUGGGCUAAGUCUGGAGAUUUCUGAAUCUGAAUGCGGACAGCUUAAGAGUCAGUUGUGUCAACCCCGAGCGUAGCAAACCCCGUCAGCCUUUAGUUGAUAUACACUGGAUGUUCGGUAUCAAAGAUCUUCACUGUAUUUUUAGGUUCAUUCGAACCUAAAAGUUCGAAGCAAAAGACAGCUUAAGGGAGACAAGCCCACAUAUGUGGAAUACAAAAAGAUACCAAAAAAAAAAAACAAACCAACAACUUGCAUGAAGCCUUUGCGAAUGCAAACUGCAAGCCAUGGUUUGCUGAGUUUAAAUCCAACGGUAGUCACCAGUUAUCUGCAGUUCUGAUAAAUAUUCAUGUAUCAUAUGUUCAUAUCUGACUGCAGGAAAAGAAAAAGGAUUCAGAGAGCUUUGUCUGCCCUAUGAGCUUUUUAUCUGUGCUCUAGUAACUUCCUUAUACUUAGUAAAUAGGAACAUUGCUUUGUUCAGGCUUUAACACUUUUAAUAUCCUUGCAGAUUCAGCAAACCUUUGUUCUAAAAUGCUUUGUGCCCAUUAGGGCUUUUGAUUAUAGAUUACACCACCAUUUGAUUUAUUUAUUUUUUUCUCAUGGGCAACAUAUUCUCCUUUCAUUGAGCAAUAUUCAGAAACUUGGAAAUCUAACCUGUGUUUUAGUCUCAGGACAGGCACAUUCUUAUGGUAAAAGCCUCCCCAGUUGAACUUGGGAUGCAUUCAACUCUUGUAUGGUUGAUACUUGGCCAGGUUAAUUAUGCAAUCACCCCAAGUAGGAGAGGACAGCAGGAUAUGCAAGCAUUUUUCAAAGACUUGUUUUUAGUACAGAGACAGCUUUCUGGAAUCAAAUAAAGAAAAUGGAGAACGCCUGUGAUUUACAGUGAACUGGCACUCUGAAAAUGCUGGGAUUUAAAAGAUCAGUAAGGCCAAAUUUGCAACCAUUUAGAGAAUGAUUACAGCAUGUAUCUACAUAUCCAAGCUAGCUUUAAUCGAGCUACCUCGGGUACCAACAGCAGAAUAGCUGUGGCAGCAGCAGGCUUCAGUGUGAGCUGCACAAGCCUGUGGGGGACCCUCGGUGUCUUCUUAGGUAACUGGCUCAAACUGAAGUCUGUGCUGAUGUGGCUGCACUGCUGCUGGCCUUCCUGCAAGCUUUCCUGCCAAGGGCAGCAUGGUUGACAGGGUGGAGGAUGUAAGGAAACCCAGUAGAGAAAAUAAAACCUUUUUGUUGCAAUGGCUC
rnacentral:lncRNA from 1 species